GUGCUCACUAUGGCAGCACAUAUACAAAAAUUGUAACAAUACAGAGAUUAGCAUGGCCCCUGCACAAGGAUGACAGGCAAAUUCGUGAAGCGUUCCAUAUUUUU
ensembl:snRNA U6 U6 spliceosomal RNA